UACGAAGGGGGCGAACGUUGUUCGGAUUUACUGGGCGUAAAGGGCGCGCAGGCGGCGUAUCAAGUCAGGCGUGAAAGCCCCGGGCUUAACCUGGGAACUGCGUCUGGGACUGGUAUGCUAGAGAUCGGGAGAGGAGAGUGGAAUUCCUGGUGUAGCGGUGAAAUGCGCAGAUAUCAGGAAGAACACCCGUGGCGAAGGCGGCUCUCUGGGACGGUACUGACGCUGAGACGCGAAAGCGUGGGGAGCGAACAGG
rnacentral:rRNA from 1 species